AGGCCCCGUAGCUCAGAGGAUAGAGCAGCGGUUUCCUAAACCGCGUGUCGGGGGUUCGAGUCCCUCCGGGCGUGCCA
rnacentral:tRNA from 1 species